rnacentral:snRNA from 1 species
GUGCUUGCUCAGGCAGCCCACAUGAUAAAUUGCAAACGAUACAGAGAAGAUUAGCAUGGCCCCUGCGAAAGGAUGACACGCAAAUUUGCGAAGCGUUUCCACAUUUU